rnacentral:lncRNA from 1 species
GUGUAGAAAUUUGGUUAUUAACAAUAUUUGCUCCAAGUUACGCUUUAAAGAUAGUCUUGCCUAUUUAGAAGUAUUUUGAUAUAAUCAUAUGUUUUACCUCUUAAUUAUGUUUUGUUGGUCAAGUAAUUUAAUGGCUGAAGGUUACACAUAUUUUUUUUUUGAAGAAAUCAGUCAUACAUAUUAAAUGUGGAAAAGUCUCGGUUCUGACAUAAAAUUGUCCUUAUAACUACCAAUUAAGUUGUGUCUACGUAAAUACUUGUGUUAAUUAUUUAUAUCCUUGGACAUGGCUUUCUUAUUGCCUUUUAUUUCUUUCACCUGGUAUUUUUUAUGUCUCACUCCCUCUUAUGUUAAAAGCUGAAUGACGAAACUUAUGGAGAGAAUGAUACUAGAAGAAAUGAUGGUUUUAAUUCAUAUAACAUAUUUUGUCCAAAUAUUUGUAUACAAAGUCUCACAAGAUAGACAAGUUUGUUAGCGGUUUAUAUCAAAUUCUCAUUGCUUGUUCCUUUUAAGGGUAAUUUGUUU